rnacentral:rRNA from 1 species
ACUACGGGGGGCAGCAGUGAGGAAUAUUGGUCAAUGGGCGCGAGCCUGAACCAGCCAAGUAGCGUGAAGGAUGACUGCCCUACGGGUUGUAAACUUCUUUUAUAAAGGAAUAAAGUGAGGCACGUGUGCCUUUUUGUAUGUAUUUUAUGAAUAAGGAUCGGCUAACUCCGUGCCAGCAGCCGCGGUAAGACGGAGGAUCCGAGCGUUAUCCGGAUUUAUUGGGUUUAAAGGGAGCGUAGAUGGGUUGUUAUGUCAGUUGUGAGAGUUUGCGGCUCAACCGUAAAAUUGCAAUUGAUACUGGCAGCCUUGCGUACAGUUGCGGUAGGCGGAAUUCGUGGUGUAGCGGUGAAAUGCU